rnacentral:tRNA from 1 species
GGAGGGAUGGCCGAGUGGUCUAAGGCGCUCGCCUGGAGAGCGGGUACACCGGAAACGGUGUCGUGGGUUCGAAUCCCACUCCCUCCGCCA